UGGUUCUGGCAUCGAUGAAGAACGCAGCGAAAUGCGAUACGUAAUGUGAAUUGCAGAAUUCAGUGAAUCAUCGAAUCUUUGAACGCACAUUGCGCCUAAGAGUAUUCUUUUAGGCAUGCUUGUUCGAGCGUCGUUUAAACCAUAAGGCUAUGCCUUGCGUUGAUGACUUGGAGUAAAGUCCAAUCAUCUAAAACAGUUGGCGAAACUGAUUAGUAACCCAAACGCAGCGAUAUGCGCCACAAAGUUCUAAUCUUGGUGACUGCCAAACCACAAACAAACUGUUCGACCUCGGAUCAAGUAAGAUUACCCGCUGA
rnacentral:misc_RNA from 1 species